rnacentral:miRNA from 1 species
UGGGCGGGGUAUGUAUGUAUGUAUGUAUGUAUGUAUGUAUAUAUAUAUAAAUAAAUACAUACAUACAUACAUACAUACAUACUA